AGAGUUUGAUCAUGGCUCAGGAUGAACGCUAGCUACAGGCUUAACACAUGCAAGUCGAGGGGAAACGAUAUUGAAAGCUUGCUUUCUUAGGCGUCGACCGGCGAAUGGGUGAGUAACGCGUAUCCAACCUGCCCCUGAGUAAGGGAUAGCCCAUCGAAAGAUGGAUUAAUACCUUAUGGUCUCCUUUUGCAGACAUCUAAUUAGGAGUAAAGAUUUAUCGCUGAGGGAUGGGGAUGCGUCCGAUUAGCUUGUUGGCGGGGUAACGGCCCACCAAGGCAACGAUCAGUAGGGUUCUGAGAGGAAGGUCCCCCACAUUGGUACUGAGACACGGACCAAACUCCUACGGGAGGCAGCAGUGAGGAAUAUUGGUCAAUGGACGGAAGUCUGAACCAGCCAAGUAGCGUGCCAGGACGACGGCCCUACGGGUUGUAAACUGCUUUUAUCAGGGGAUAAAGUGCGGGACGUGUCCCUCAUUGCAGGUACCUGAUGAAUAAGGACCGGCUAAUUCCGUGCCAGCAGCCGC
rnacentral:rRNA from 1 species